rnacentral:tRNA from 1 species
UGGUGUAGUGAUAACACGCUCGCCUCGCAUGUCAGAUGUCCGGGGUUCAAAUCCCUG